GACGAACGCUGGCGGCGUGCUUAACGCAUGCAAGUCGAACGGAAAGGCCCUGCUUUUGUGGGGUGCUCGAGUGGCGAACGGGUGAGUAACACGUGAGUAACCUGCCCUUGACUUUGGGAUAACUUCAGGAAACUGGGGCUAAUACCGGAUAGGAGCUCCUGCUGCAUGGUGGGGGUUGGAAAGUUUCGGCGGUUGGGGAUGGACUCGCGGCUUAUCAGCUUGUUGGUGGGGUAGUGGCUUACCAAGGCUUUGACGGGUAGCCGGCCUGAGAGGGUGACCGGCCACAUUGGGACUGAGAUACGGCCCAGACUCCUACGGGAGGCAGCAGUGGGGAAUAUUGCGCAAUGGGCGGAAGCCUGAUGCAGCAACGCCGCGUGCGGGAUGACGGCCUUCGGGUUGUAAACCGCUUUCGCCUGUGACGAAGCGUGAGUGACGGUAAUGGGUAAAGAAGCACCGGCUAACUACGUG
rnacentral:rRNA from 1 species